ensembl:lncRNA
CCGUCGUAUCUCUGACACGCACAGACACACAAACAGACACACAACCCUGUGGUGGGUCACUGGGUUUUCAAGGUCCCAUCUGAAGCUGGUUACAUUGUGCCUUCGUAUCUCAAAGUUACACAAUCUAUGAAGACAAAGUCAAGACAAAGAGGCCCUGAAGGCAGCACGCGUGCAACCAGCUGGUCCAAAUACGGCGCGUUGAUGAAACGUUGAGGUGCAGCAGAGGAGCAGAACUGAUUUAGGGCGACGUCGGGUGUUUCACGCAGCUCUUAAACACACACCCUGUAAACGAUGAAGAAGCCGCUUCGUCUGAAUCGCAGCCCGAAGCAGUGAAACGAACGCUGCUGAUACUCGCGGGAAAGAGAGCGCGGACGAAUGCUGAAGGGCCUCUACUCCUCGGACGCGAAGGUGGGAGAAUGAAGCGCGCACUCGUGCGUCAGCAGCCACAACACCUCGAGAGUUUGUUUGCGGCGCGAAGCCUCCUCUGUCCGCCGGAGGAGAGAGCGGCAGCAGGAAAGGGCCCCACAUUUGGCUUCAGAAGAGCUCGGUGAUCUUCACUCCCACAGGAGGCCACGCGACCCAACAGAACAUGGAGAUGUUCCACCACCAGCAGGUUCCUUCCUCAUUUGAUCCUCAAUCGAGAGUUGAAGGAAGAAGCGAAUCCUUUCGGACGAAUGACUCAGUGUAAAUCCAAAGAUGCAAAGACGUGUUUGUCGCACAUUGUGAAGGUCACGCUGGUACAAACUCGUCGUGUUGUCAGCCGAGGUCGUGGAGUUGUGAUCCAUACGUAAUGAGAGAAGUUCAACCCGCCGGUCUCCAGCAAUGUGCACUCACAGACAUCCGAUUCACUUUCAUUUGGAGAUUUCGUUUAAUAAGACAUCUGUGUCCAACCUUGUAAAUGGUUUUAUGUGCUGACAUCCGAAAUAAAUAAGCUUGUUUGUUUUUUUUCAUUAUACAGCAUAUUUUACGAUUGCAUUUUAACAACCAAAGUGCAUUUAGCUUGAAAAUAAACUCAAGGAUGUAAUAAACGUCUCAAAGAUCGACUUAAAAGCAAUCUAGAGUAGAACUUUUUGUAAAUGGAUUUUUUUCCAGUAAAUUAAACAAUAAACUGUCAAGAGGAAAAGUGACGUGUUACGUACUUUUCUUAGCAAGAAAAACAAAAACAGCUAAACACAAAAAGCGACAAACUACUUUGUUGGCGAGUUGGCGCCAAAGUAUUCUCUGGUAUACAUGGCAGGUAGCAUGUAGCAGGUAGCACGUAGCAGGUAGCAGGUAGCACGUAGCACGUAGCACGUAGCACGUAGCACGUAGCUAGGUCGCUAAAUAGCUCCGGGACCAGAGACCAGAUCCGACUGCAGCCUUUGCUGAGUCUCUCAGGGGGAACAAACAGCAUCACGAGCUCGUGGACUCGGAUCCUCGGGCCUUUUUAACAAAAACAGCAAGUCAAUAUGUUUUCUUUGAGGAAACUGACAGUCGACACCAACAAAUCACACAAAGCAACAUGAAGCUGGAUGAGAAACCCAGUGGAAUGUAAAAAAACAUCCUAAACUAUUAUCUCUUGGAUGAAGGGGGGUUAGAACCCAAAGAGCUCAGCAGGGAAAUCACGUUUCACUGCGUGUGUGUGUGUGUGUGUGCGUGUGCGUGUGCGUGUGCGUGUGUGUGUGUGCGUGUGUGUGUGUGUGUGUGUGUGUGUGUGUGUAAGAGAAGAAUGGAGACAUUGUAGCCGUUAGUGUGCGUGUGUCCACACUUGAUUUAAAGCCACUUUCAACAUUUUCUUUCAGAGUGAACGGAAAACUUUAGUUUUAGCCAAAGUUUUGUGGUUUGAUGAGAAAAACAUGGCGGUAAGGUGCUUUCUGAAAGGCUGCAUUGUCGAAACAGAGCGUUCUUGUAAUCACAUUAUCUCUCAAAGGAUGUCCAUGCUUUCUUAUUGUUUGAUUUUAUGUCGGUGUCAUAUGAAAUAACGCAUGUGAAUGAAAUGUAGAGGUACAUUAUUCCUCUUUUUAGUUCAUUGCUGAUUGGUUUGUCUGCAGGAUUACGGAAAAAAAAGAGAUUUUGGAUUGGAUCCAAAUCAAGGGGCGGAUAUAAAUAGUUUGUUUUUCCCUUUUUGUGCAUGAAGCCAAUUAGAGACCUCGACACUUUGUCCACAGCGAAACAUCCUCAGCUUCCAGAGCAAAUUGCUGAGCUUCAGUUCUGCCGAGGACGACGUGUCUGAUCUCGGGUGAAGUUUGUUCAAUCGGGUUAAAAGUAUGACUCAUUCACUCCACACAGAUUUCACAACAGCAUAACGACAGUUUGUUGGACGUCUCACGUGUCAGCCUCGCGUCAGUGACGAGCCGGUACGUCAGCAGGACAUCGAGCAAUGCGACGCGUCCUGCGAUGUGAACUCGAUCCGGAUCAGGAAAUGAAGCAACGAUCUGGCAAAGGUUUCCUCCAAAGUCGUGCGAGAGGAGCAGCCGCUCCGUGACCUGUGGAGGUGUCUGCUGUCCGCGUUGCCGCCAGAGGUCCGACAAGCUGACGGCAUCGGCGGCUGUGAUACUAAUUAUUUAGGAAGCACAUCGUCCAAAUCCACUGGAGAAAUGACGUGUGAGCCCGGGGGGG